UUGGUUAUUUGUUUUCUUUUUUGUUUGUUUGUUUUUUCAAAAAAUUCACAUGGAAUUUUUGGCCGGAUGUGGUGGCUCACACCUGUAAUCCUAGCACUUUAGGAGGCCGAGGUGGGCAGAUUGUCUGAGCUCUGGAUUUCGAGAUCAGUGUGGGCAACACUGUGAAACCCCAUCUCUACUAAAGUACGAAAAAUUAGGAGGGUGUGGUGGUGUGUGCCUGUAGUCCCAGCCACUUGGGAGACUGAGGCAAGAGAAUUGCUUGAACCCGGAGGCAGAGGUUGCAGUGAGCCAAGAUCGUGCCACUGCACUCCAGCCUGGGUGACAGAGCGAGACUCAUCAAAGAAAGAGAGAGAGAGAGAGAAAGGUCUUUUAUGUAUCACACCAACUCCAAAGAAUCUAGGUAUCCUACUCUCAGAUUAUCUCUCACCCUGAGAGGUAGGGGUUAAAAGUGUAAAUUGAGGAGCCAGGUUUUCUGGGUUCUGAUCUCCCCUCUGCCAAUCACUGACUGUGUAACCUUCGCAAGUUACUUAAACUCUCUGCUCCUCAGUCUCCUCAUCUGCAAAAUAGAUGUCCUGGUAAUAGGCUUAUUGUUAAAAUUAAACAAGAAAAUUAAUAUUGAAGUCCUUACAACAAAGCUUAUAAGGCCUAUUAAAUGUAUUUACGUGUUGGAUAUUAUUUUCUUAAUAUUUUUAUUCUCUCUCCUCAGUUACACACAGAAGAUUUUUAAACAACUGUACUUUGUGUUGCCUGACUACAUUGUGGCUACAAGUAAAAAGAGAUCAUUUUUUAACAUUUAAAUAACAUCGAUGUCACAAGCAAACCUUUCUGUAUAUUAAGGACAGAAAUCGAAAGGUGUUUUUAAACUUGGAAUGAGGUUUUGUUUUGUUUUGUUUUAACAAUUUCCAAUGUACUUAAGAGUUUUAACAUGGCUAAUAUUAGUGGGAACUGAGCGUCUGAGAAGGAGGUUAGUUCUGCAUAAACCCUGCUUUUAAAAAGCUCACACGAAGGGUCAAAGACCAGGAAAUGCUCUCACUAUAAUUCUCAUUUUCAGCUGAAUUGGACAUGGCGACAAGAAUGCAGGCCUGAAUCACAUUAUGUUCCAGGAACCUUUAACUUUGCAUCAUAAUGAUCUGCGGCCUAACAGAAGCAAAUUGCAAGUGGUUUCAAAAGGAUAAACUCUAAUUUAUAUUAAGCUUGUAUUAUAACUUAAGCAGCUCAUUUUGAAAGCAAAACUAAAAACCUCAUCAUUCAUGUGAUGGCUCCUAAAUGCAUCCUUUUACAUUUUACCUGUAAAAUGCUCUGUGUUUGCUGACAGGUUAAAUGUAUACUAUACACAGAGAGCCAACAUUUCUCUUUGUAACACCGCAGCAAUCUUACUUUUAGCAGCAUUCUUAUUAUUUUAAGCUGUCUCCAUUGUCUUCUAAACACCAUAAUUAGAAGCUGAAAAGCUUACAGCAACCAAACCCAAUAAGGUCUCAUUAUGAACAAAAUAUUCUACCGUGGCUCAACAAGUGACCCAGUGUAUUCCAACAACGUGAAGCCUUCAGCCUCCCUGCCCAAUUAUGGCCUCAGGAAUUCCUGGAGGACUGAUGACUUCUUCCUUUCUGGAGAGAAGGGCAAAGAGAAAGCUUUAAAGAGAAAUUAAAUCAAACUACAUACACAAGGAUGCGGCUAAAUGUGGAUAGCAAUGAACUGAUAGCAUGAAUGCACUGUUUCCAAAGCUUCCUUCCAGUGGUAAGGACCUUAGAUUUUAUAUUUUUCUUGAAAUAACUUCUCUAUUAAAAAAAAUAUGUUGGAGCCUUCUGCUUGGGAGAAGAUGGAGUAAAUGUACUUUACUCUUCUCUAAGUACAGUUUUAAAGCUAAGACAUUAGAUAUAAAACCACCAUGAGAAGAUUCUGAAAAAUGAGGAGAAGGUGGCAGGUGAGCGAAUGAUCUCAGGGAAUGCACUACAUGUUUUCUUUUGGCCCCACAUAUCCCAGACACAUAGCAGAAGAAUCCAGCAACCUGGAAACACCAUCAAGCACAGACAAAAUACUGUGCUUUCUAACUGAAGGACCAGGAAAGGGGUAGUUUACCAAGAUAGAAAACUUAACAACUCCAGCUAAACCAUCAAGGUAAAAGUGUGUACAAAGACAGUAAUCCUUUAGCUGAUACUAUUAAGAGAAGUCUGUGUCGAAGAUCUAACAGUGAAGACCUAAGCAAGCAGUGAAGAUGUGGCUUAAAGAACACAGUUUCAGGCUGGGCGCGGUGGCUCAUGCUUAUAAUCCCAGCACUUUGGGAGGCCAAGGCGGGUGGAUUACGAGGUCAAGAGAUCAAGACCAUCCUGGUCAAUAUGGUGAAACCCUGUCUCUACUAAAAAUACAAAAAUUAGCUGGGCAUGGUGACACGCACCUAUAGUCCCAGCUACUCAGGAGGCUGAGGCUGGAGAAUUGCCUGAACCCAGGAGGCGGAGGUUGCAGUGAGCCAAGAUCAAGCCAUUGCACUCCAGCCUGGGUAACAAGAGUGAAAUUCCGUCUCAAAAAAAACAAAAACAAAACACAGUUUUGUCUGACAAUGGGAAGGCACCAGCUAGUGGCUGUAUAGACUAGAUGUGGCCCCUCAAAAUACAUACAUUGAAACUUAAUUCCCAGUGGGAUAGUACUGGGAGAGGGAACUUUGGGAGAAGGUUGGAUCAUGAGAAAGGAGCCCUCUUGAAAGAUAUUUGUGUCCUUAUAAAAGAAAACCAAGACUUCCUUUCCUCUCCUACCAUGUGGGGCUACAGCAAGAAGACGGCUGUGAAUCAGGAGGAAGGCCGUCACCCCGCACCAAGUCUGCCAAGGUCUUGAUCUUGGACUUCAACUUCAGAACUAGAGAAAUCUUGAUGUUUAUAAGACAGCGUACAGUGUUCUCUUAUAGCAGCACAAUUUGAUGAAGACAGUGGCCAAAAGGACAUGAGGCUUGGCAAUGCCCUGGCUAGGGUGAACCAGGGAGCUGGACUGAGCUUGAGACCUGGGAACAACUGCAGAAUCUCCACUUGGAUCCCAGGUCAAAGUCUAAGGGGAUUUCUAUAGUUCACGAUUGCCAACUCCCUCUCCCUUCCUCUUUCCAUCUCUCUUACAAACCACAUCUAGUCAUUCACCAAGCCCAGUCAAUUUUCCUCCAAGAUUUCUCAAAUCUAUCCUGUUUCUACUUACCCAUCACACUGCUAUUGUUUUAAGAUGAUCAUAUAUUGCUGCUUCUAAUUUGGCCUUUCUGUCACAAGUCUUAACACAAAUCAGAUCAUGACGCUCCUCUGCAUUUGUGUCUCCGUGAUAAAAUGCACCUUUCAACAUCCUUUGAAUUUCAACACAGCCUACCUUUUUAGUCUCUGGCUCACCAAUCUCACAUCUUCAGGCCUUACUCAACUAGUUUCUAGAACAUGCUCUCUUAGGCCACCUUGUCUUUGCACCUGCUGAUUCUUUCUCUGGAAAAUAUUUCCCUCUCUGGACUUGCCUCACAAUCACUUCUCUGUCCUGGAUUGUGAAUGAAUGAGUGAGUGAGUGAAUGAAAGAUCAAGUGAGAGACAGCAAAGAGUUAUGCCAAGAAGAACUAGUUGGUUUUACCCCUGGAGCAAGACUGCAUAAAUGAUACAUUUGCCUAGAAAUAGAGAAACACUGAUAAUAUUUACCUGUGAAGAAUAUGUACUCCAGAUUUACCUCAUUGCUGUUGUACUAAAAAGUGUGAAAAGAGAUAAACAGAGAAAAGGAGAGUAAAGCAGGAGCUAAAAAACAGCCUCGGACUCUAAGAAAACCUUCUCCCUAAUUUUUGUGCAUUCUCUGCAGUGUUAAAAAAAUAAAGAGUUAAUUACUAUA